rnacentral:rRNA from 1 species
CGGACCAAACUCCUACGGGAGGCAGCAGUGAGGAAUAUUGGUCAAUGGGCGCGAGCCUGAACCAGCCAAGUCGCGUGAGGGAUGAAGGUUCUAUGGAUCGUAAACCUCUUUUAUAAGGGAAUAAAGUGCGGGACGUGUCCCGUUUUGUAUGUACCUUAUGAAUAAGGAUCGGCUAACUCCGUGCCAGCAGCCGCGGUAAUACGGAGGAUCCGAGCGUUAUCCGGAUUUAUUGGGUUUAAAGGGUGCGUAGGCGGCCUUUUAAGUCAGCGGUGAAAGUCUGUGGCUCAACCAUAGAAUUGCCGUUGAAACUGGGGGGCUUGAGUAUGUUUGAGGCAGGCGGAAUGCGUGGUGUAGCGGUGAAAUGCUUAGAUAUCACGCAGAACCCCGAUUGCGAAGGCAGCCUGCCAAGCCAUGACUGACGCUGAUGCACGAAAGCGUGGGGAUCAAACAGGAUUAGAUACCCUGGUAGUCCACGCAGUAAACGAUGAUCACUAGCUGUUUGCGAUACAGUGUAAGCGGCACAGCGAAAGCGUUAAGUGAUCCACCUGGGGAGUACGCCGGCAACGGUGAAACUCAAAGGAAUUGACGGGGGCCCGCACAAGCGGAGGAACAUGUGGUUUAAUUCGAUGAUACGCGAGGAACCUUACCCGGGCUUAAAUUGCAGAUGAAUUACGGUGAAAGCCGUAAGCCGCAAGGCAUCUGUGAAGGUGCUGCAUGGUUGUCGUCAGCUCGUGCCGUGAGGUGUCGGCUUAAGUGCCAUAACGAGCGCAACCCUUGCCACUAGUUACUAACAGGUAAAGCUGAGGACUCUGGUGGGACUGCCAGCGUAAGCUGCGAGGAAGGCGGGGAUGACGUCAAAUCAGCACGGCCCUUACAUCCGGGGCGACACACGUGUUACAAUGGCGUGGACAAAGGGAUGCCACCUGGCGACAGGGAGCGAAUCCCCAAACCACGUCUCAGUUCGGAUCGGAGUCUGCAACCCGACUCCGUGAAGCUGGAUUCGCUAGUAAUCGCGCAUCAGCCAUGGCGCGGUGAAUACGUUCCCGGGCCUUGUACACACCGCCCGUCAAGCCAUGGGAGCCGGGGGUACCUGAAGUGCGUAACCGCGAGGAGCGCCCUAGGGUAAAACUGGUGACUGGGGCUAAGUCGUAACAAGGUAGCCGUACCGGAAGGUGCGGCUG